CAGGAGUUGUGCGGGGCUAUCCGUGCGUCCUGGGAUGAGAAACACCCAGUUGCCAGAGGCCACUUCCUCUAGAUGAAUUGACGUGGGUUGUGGUUCAUGCCACUUUUCAGGUCCAAGGACCAGUCAAGCGUCCAGAAGUCCUCCUGCCUCCCACCACUCAAGCUUCCUCUUGCCCAGCCACCAGUAGACCCAGGAAGCCCAGGAAAAUCCUCACAGUGUGAAAACCUAGUGACAAAUUCAGUAGAUCUCCAGGAAAGCAGUUCCCAAAUGAUUCUGACAUUCAACCUGGGCUGAGAACCACUGUUCUACUACAACCACUCAUCUUUUAGAAGAGGCUGCACUUCAAAAGGUAAAGGAUUCAGAAUAUAACUUGAUUGUCAAUGGCAAUGUUUAGAUAUAUUUUAAAAGAAUCAUGAAAAAGAAAUAACCAGCUUUUAAUGUCAACCCUAGUCAAUUCCUGAAAUGAAUAGGUCUGAAUUUCUCAAAAUAUUACCAGGACCAACUAAUUUUAUAGAUAGCAAAGGAUGUUUAUUCUAGCCCCAGUACUCUGCCUUGAAAUCCCUGGGGAGCCAUUGAAAAGUUUUGCAAAAAUAUCAUGAUGAGAAGGUAGUUUCCAGAGAUGGACCAGGCUAUGGUGGAAGGAAAGUUUGAAGGAACAAGUAUAAACACAGGGAGGUCACACAAUGGCUAUUAUCCCGGAAUGAGCCCUCAAAUCAUCUAAUGUAAGACAGAGACGGUGAAUAUGAGCAGUAUCAUGUAAAGCUAUUCACAGAGUAUGGGACUGUUGGCCUAGGAAAAUCAACGGUGAGCCAGUACCCAAAGCAACUACCAGUUCCAGCUAUUUACUUAGUCCAGCUUUGCAUUCUAAAUAACUGCCUGGCCUGGAGCUUCCAGAAGCCCCUCUAAGGAAGGGGAAGGAAGGGUAUAAUGGAAGAGAAUGUAAAUCACUGGGGGCAAGGGGCAAGUCUGAUCAUUUUGUCUACCUAGGGUACUUAACAGACUGCUGUGUUUUGUGACUAGAACCAAGAAAGACAACGGUUAUGGUUAUCUCAGGAGAAGCCACUUCCUGGUCACUUGGGUGACCUCCAAAGUCCUCCAGGAAACUGGGGCCAUCAGAGAGAGGGGUAGAGGAGUGACACCUUCUACUUGGUGGACACAGAGCUGUCUCAUCACCAUGUUUUAAAAAUUAAGUGUGCUAGAAGAAUAAAUCUAUCCACUUCAAACAAGCCCACCCCCAAAAAUAUUUGACAAACCAUCACCUAACCAGUGAAAAUUU